CCCGCCGCAGCUCCCAGUAUUGUCUUCCGGUUGCUAGACGACGCCGCUUUCCAGUACAUUAUUCGGAAUAUAAAAACUAAAAUGGGAUGUGUCACACGGCACCUUCGCAUCUCCUGUCGGCGGGGCCGACGGCUGCUGACGCAGACGGAAGAGAAACUCGGAGGAGAUACCGUCCCAGAUGUAAAGGGGUGAACUCUCUCUUCCUCUGACCUCGACAGAAGUCCGAGGAGGAAGACUCAACUCUCUCUUAUCUAAAGGGUGAGUCCAGCUGCCACGAGAGAUUUCGAAACCUCUCUCCCCACGCAGGGGUGGACAUCCCCACGGGGUCCAGAGAGCCCGCCCGAGUGCAGUUCAGGCCGCUUCUCUUACACGCUCUCCUCAAGCGCACAACCUGUCCCAGACCCGAGAUGCUCCCGUCACCUACCCAAUACCCACCCCACCCCCCUUCUGGGGCUUGCCUUCAACUUGUUGCAUCCCUCGCUGUCACAGUUGUCACCUUACCACCUGCACGACUUUUCCCUUGAAUCUCCUUCUGGCCGGUUUGGAAGAUGGGGCCCUAAACGAAGUUCACGCUUUCCCUCUCUCCGGCCCGUGGUCUGUGCUCCUCGGCUGCAGCCACGCUGGCUGAACGCACCAGGCGCACAUCCGCCUCAGGGCCUUGGCGCGUGCUGUUCCCCCCACCACGAGCGCUCUGUGUCACCCACGUGGCUCCCUCACUCCCUUCCUCGGGGUCUUUACCCACACGCCCACUCAUCAGUGAGCUGUCCCCCACCACUCUCUUCGGAGCUCCCGCCCACGCGUGGUUUCCCACGAGCUUAUCUCCCCCUUGUCUCCUUCCUUAUCUGCCUCGCCCACUGGAAUGCCAGCUUCACGCGGGCAGGGACUUCUGACUCUCUCUGUCCUCUGUCACAGCCCGGUGCCCACAGCGGCGCUCAGCGUAUCCACGCCGCGAGAGUUACUGGGCGUUCGCGGCUCGCCUGCGAUUGAGGAAUUCUCCGUUCCUCAAGCUGAAGGCCGCUUCGUGCCUCCUGGGCCCUCGGAGAGAUCGGAGGAGUUGGGCCAAGGCCUCCCUCCCUCCCUCCUCCUCCUCACCGCCCUUUUGACGCUGUAUAUUCUGCUUCCCCGACAGACGCAGGAAAGUGGGGUCGUUCUAGAGGGAGACGGAGCCUUUCCCGAUUUAGGAACACAGGUGUUGGCUCCGCCGGGGCCAAAGGCUCCCGCGUCUCUAGGAGCUCCCAGGAGGAAAUUCAUCUGAAAUGUGCUCACCCUCCCUGGUGGGGAACGGGGCUGUGGGCGAGGCAGCCCAUGCGGGCAGGCGGCCCUUACACAGGCUUUCCAGAAAGAGCUGGAAAGCAGAUACCCGAGCCACAGGAAAAAGAAUGACCUCUUGCAGCCAAGAGCCUGACUGGAAAGUCCGCGUAAAGGACACCUGGAGGAAGUGGGGGGCUCCAUCACCUCCUCCGCCCGCCGGUAACCCUUUCUUCCUCACUCGGCCGCCCCGCACAUCCGCCUUCCCGGAGGCUCACCCCAUCUUUGCCAUUCGAAAGCUCACUGGGUUCUCCCAACACAUCAGAGCUUUUUUUUUUUCUUUUCCCUUUUUCUUUUCUUUUCUUUCUUUUUUUUUUUUUUUUUUUUUCAUCUUGUUUGAAAAGCCUUUUGUGAGGUUGGGAGUGACCCAAAAGUCGCCUCUCUAUUCCUGUCUGAGGAGAGAGUAUUUCCAGAUCGGAGGCGCGGUCUGCAGGGCCCGGGCCAGGCGUCCAUGAAUACCGGAUUAUGCCUCCUACCCCAGUCUCCUAAGCGUGUGCCAGCCACAGUUCCAGAAUGAACCAUAAGCGGAGAAAAAAAAAUUUUGUGAAUCAAGAGGUUUAUUAUUUUCUCCCAGUAAGGAUUUUGAAACCCAGAUUUCCACAUUUUUAAGGGUUUGAUGUCAUAAAAUUCCCAUGUAUGAUUACAUUUUAAAAAACAGAGUCAUUGUGUGUGUGUGUGUGUGUGUGUGUGUGUGUGUGUGUGUUGGAACGUAAGAGGUUUAGCAUACAACUCAGAAAAUGAAUUCCUAAACCCAGAGUUUGAAAGGCACAGACACAACGGGCCAUCGAGCUGGGCAUCUGCUACAACGAAUCCAUGGGAUGUUAAGUCUGUUGUCCUGGAACCAUCUGGAAAUUAAAUGUUAGUCUUCUGAAAAGAA